AGAGUUUGAUCCUGGCUCAGAACGAACGCUGGCGGCGCGUCUUAAGCAUGCAAGUCGAACGGUAAGGGAGAGCUUGCUCUCCCCUAGAGUGGCGGACUGGUGAGUAACGCGUGGGUGACCUGCCCUGAAGAUGGGGAUAGCUAGUAGAAAUAUUAGAUAAUACCGAAUGUGCUCAUUUACAUAAAGGUAAAUGAGGAAAGGAGCUACGGCUCCGCUUCAGGAUGGGCCCGCGUCCCAUUAGCUAGUUGGUGAGGUAAAGGCCCACCAAGGCAACGAUGGGUAUCCGGCCUGAGAGGGUGAACGGACACAUUGGGACUGAGAUACGGCCCAAACUCCUACGGGAGGCAGCAGCUAAGAAUAUUCCGCAAUGGACGAAAGUCUGACGGAGCGACGCCGCGUGGAUGAAGAAGGCUGAAAAGUUGUAAAAUCCUUUUGUUGAUGAAGAAUAAGGGGAAGAGGGAAUGCUUCUCUGAUGACGGUAAUCAGCGAAUAAGCCCCGGCUAAUUACGUGCCAGCAGCCGCGGUAACACGUAAGGGGCGAGCGUUGUUCGGAAUUAUUGGGCGUAAAGGGCAUGUAGGCGGUUAUGUAAGCCUGAUGUGAAAUCCUGGGGCUUAACCCUAGAAUAGCAUUGGGUACUGUGUAACUUGAAUUACGGAAGGGAAACUGGAAUUCCAAGUGUAGGGGUGGAAUCUGUAGAUAUUUGGAAGAACACCGGUGGCGAAGGCGGGUUUCUGGCCGAUGAUUGACGCUGAUAUACGAAGGUGCGGGGAGCAAACAGGAUUAGAUACCCUGGUAGUCCGCACAGUAAACG
rnacentral:rRNA from 1 species